UCCCUGGUGGUCUAGUGGUUAAGAUUUGGCCCUUUCACUGCCACGUCCCGAGUUCAAUUCCCGGUCAGGGAA